UACGGAGGGUGCGAGCGUUGUCCGGAAUCAUUGGGCGUAAAGAGCUCGUAGGCGGUGUGUCACGUCGGCCGUGAAAACCUGCAGCUUAACUGUGGGCGUGCGGUCGAUACGGGCAUCACUGGAGUUCGGCAGGGGAGACUGGAAUUCCUGGUGUAGCGGUGAAAUGCGCAGAUAUCAGGAGGAACACCAAUUGCGAAGGCAGCUCGCUGGGACGUUACUGACGCUGAGGCACGAAAGCGUGGGGAGCAAACAGG
rnacentral:rRNA from 1 species